rnacentral:misc_RNA from 1 species
GUUGUAAUUUGUAGAAGAUGCUUCGGGUGUGGCCCCGGUCUAAGUUCCUUGGAACAGGACGUCACAGAGGGUGAGAAUCCCGUAUGUGACCGGUGGCCUCCCCCGUGUGAAGCUCUUUCGACGAGUCGAGUUGUUUGGGAAUGCAGCUCAAAAUGGGUGGUAAAUUUCAUCUAAAGCUAAAUAUUGGCCAGAGACCGAUAGCGCACAAGUAGAGUGAUCGAAAGAUGAAAAGCACUUUGGAAAGAGGGUUAAACAGUACGUGAAAUUGUUGAAAGGGAAGCGCUUGCAACCAGACUUGCGCGCGGUCGAUCAUCCGGGGUUCUCCCCGGUGCACUCGGCCGUGCGCAGGCCAGCAUCGGUUUGGGCGGCCGGACAAAGGCCUCGGGAAUGUGGCUCCUUCGGGAGUGUUAUAGCCCGAGGUGCAAUGCGGCCAGCCCGGACCGAGGACCGCGCUUCGGCUAGGAUGCUGGCGUAAUGGUUGUAAGCGGCCCGUCUUGAAACACGGACCAAGGAGUCUAACAUCUAUGCGAGUGUUUGGGUGGCAAACCCAUCCGCGUAAUGAAAGUGAACGGAGGUGAGAACCCUUAAGGGCGCAUCAUCGACCGAUCCUGAUGUCUUCGGAUGGAUUUGAGUAAGAGCAUAGCUGUUGGGACCCGAAAGAUGGUGAACUAUGCCUGAAUAGGGUGAAGCCAGAGGAAACUCUGGUGGAGGCUCGCAGCGGUUCUGACGUGCAAAUCGAUCGUCAAAUUU